UUUAUUUAUUUAUUUAUUUUUUGUAUUUUUUUCGCAUUUAUUGCUGGUCUUUACUCAUUCAUCUCUUGUUAACCAUAGCGUUGUAAUUACGUAGGUAUAUAAAUACAGGACCAGCAUGGUAUAAAAAUCUAUAAUAGAUUACCAGGUAUUCAUUUAGGGAUAAAACAAUAUCUCAUGAAACCAGAAAAUUAGUUUUUGCGGUCCGAAUCAAUAUGUUGAAUUAGAACAGCUUCCCCUUAGAUGUGGCGGAUGAACCUCCUUCACUGCCAUCUGCCGAGGAACACGGAAGAACCUCACGUGGCUGUUCUCACGAGCGGCCAGACUCCCAACUUCAUAGCGGUUCCCACUUAAUAUGAAUUCACUCUUUUGUUAAAUUAGUGAACAGAAUGCCAUCGAGAUUUUACUAUAAUUGUAUAUGAAAUACCAAACAUAAACUUGAAAUGAGAUAGGAGUCGAAAAUAAGCGAAUAGUGGUGUGUGUAGUUUAGCCGUGCAUGGGGAGGUGCAUACAGGGAAUAACAGCAGGCUUCAGUGUGUCAGAUGUGAAGCUAGUGUGAGGAGGUGCGUGUGGUGCUGGUGAGGAGGAUCAGUGAAAUAAACUGUUAAUUACAGUGAUACUCUGUUUCGUUCUGGUGCUGGCGGCGAAAUUUUGUCUUCCUCUAAAGGUAAGUGUGUGGGGGAGAGUCACGCACCUUGGGGUUUACGUGGCAGCACCGGGGCGUCGCAGGUAAGGCCCUAGAGAGAGAGAGAGAGAGAGAGAGAGAGAGAGAGAGAGAGAGAGAGAGAGAGAGAGAGAGAGAGAGAGAGAGAGAGAGAAUGUGUAAUCAAGAGUGAAGAAAGAAAAAUGAAGGGGCAGGCGCGCUAAGUCUUCAGCGUCACCUUGGAGUGCCAAGAAGAAGGGGAACAUUUUCUAUUUUGGGAUUUGUUGAGAAAGUUUGUCUCGUAUACUUCCUUCAGUCUUUAGCCGCCUUGCCUCCCUCUUCUUAUUCACUUCUACGUCUUCCUUUACUGGCCGUGACUUGCUCAAUAUUUCAUUCCCUCAUUUUUAACAUUUUUACAACUCAGACAGAGAAUCAGGUGUAAAGAUGGAGCAGGUGUGAGGAGCAGCAGUGGUCGUCUGAGGGUGUGAGGCGAGAAUAUUCGUAUCACAAAACUGAAUUACUGCAGGUGAAGGUAUUGACAGGCGUGGGAAGGGGACAUCUGGUCUUGUGUCUCUCUCACACACACACCCACACACACACACGAGGCGACACGACAAGCACUUCAUCACGAGGCCUUAAAAUCUGAAAAAAUCUAGGCUAAUCCUCUCUGCUCCUUCUCUGUACCUCUAUCAUGUAUCUGCGUGGCCCCUGUUCCUCUCGUCCCCUGCUGCUGCGUCCCUGUGUCUGCAGUACCAUCUUUCCACACGGCACUGUCCCCUUCCCCUUUAUUGCCUGCUCUUGUGCCCCAGCGCCCGUGUCCCCGUGGCCUAGAUCCUUUUAUAAGUGUCCCUCUCCAUCCACAGGGCGGCCCUUUAUCAAUACCGUGUCCUGACUGUUCCUCAGUGGCCGCCCUUUCCAUGCCAGUGUCCUCCACCGCCGCCUCAUGUUCCUGUCCCUUCCGUGGCUGCAUUUUGUCCCCCUCUUGUCUUCACCUCCCCCUUCUGCCUGUCCUUGCCUCGUGCCUGUCAAGUCUGAUUAAUGACCCACAGCCCAGCCCCCAUGUAUACCUGUGGACUCUGCCAUACUGCCCCUCAAGUGCAUUUUAAUCUUGUCUCAUCCUCCUCUCCCGCGUCACCCUGCCUGCCGCUCAGCCUCCCUGCAGCACGGAGCGAAGGCAGCACCUUGUGACUCCUCCAGUCGAGUGUGCACCGCUGGGAAGUUUGGCUGUAUUGUUAAUUAGCGACAUUGUUUUGCAGUGUGACUUGUAAACUUUCUGUAUAAUUUCUCACACUUGCGCCGCGAUUAAAUUUUAUGGUGGUGAAUUUCGUUCUUUUCCUUAACGCUCAGACAGUAAAGAGACUGGGAAGAGAAACGGUAAGCAAUUCAUAAGGUGCAUAUUUAGAAGGAACAACUGAGGGAAGGUGAGAAGGUCAUGUCGCACUUUACCUUUCCCUAAAAAGUAAACAUAUGAAAAGAAUAGUUCCCAAGGUAUCUUAUCUCCCAACACUCAGCACUGGAAGGAACACGAGUGAGUGAGUGAGUGGCAGGCGUAAAGCAGAAUAAGGCAAACUGUCUCGCUGUUCCGGGCUCACUACCGGCGCGAGGGAUGAAGGAGUGAAGGUGUUGGUUAAUUCAUGGUGUAGUAAGGUGGACAGAAUAGGAAUGUAAAUAAGUGGAAACUCGUGAGCCGCGGGCCGCUGGAGUUGGAGAGGCAUGCAAUUAGCAGGCUUAGGAGAGCAGCGGCAGCCAUGGGAAGAAAAAAAAAAAACGAAAACGAAAACGGUAGAAGGUAACGAGAGCUGCAACAUUGCGGCAAAUCGUGGAACACUGGAAUACACUGGAACACGCUGGAACACGCUGGAACACGCUAGUUGAGGAUGAGGGAUGAAUGAGAUGAAUAACCCGUGUUUGUUGUGAUUACUGGAGCCAGGCCGUUAAAGGAGAGAUAUUGAUGAAAUUCAUUACCUUUGUUUAUUUAUUUAUU